rnacentral:rRNA from 1 species
AUUGAACGCUGGCGGCAGGCCUAACACAUGCAAGUCGAGCGAGCGGCGGACGGGUGAGUAAUGUAUGGGGAUCUGCCUGAUAGAGGGGGAUAACUACUGGAAACGGUGGCUAAUACCGCAUACUAUCGGAUGAACCCACAUGGGAUUAGCUAGUAGGUGGGGUAAAGGCUCACCUAGGCGACGAUCCCUAGCUGGUCUGAGAGGAUGACCAGCCACACGGGGACUGAGACACGGCCCAGACUCCUACGGGAGGCAGUAGUGGGGAAUAUUGCACAAUGGGCGCAAGCCUGAUGCAGCCAUGCCGCGUGUAUGAAGAAGGCCUUAGGGUUGUAAAGUACUUUCAGCGGGGAGGCGUUACCCGCAGAAGAAGCACCGGCUAACUCCGUGCCAGCAGCCGCGGUAAUUC